CCGCGGGCAGCUGUGAGCGCGGCCCGAGUGUUUCGGCGUCGGAUAAACAUGGCGGAUCUGAAGGACUGCGCAGAACUGAAGGAUUUCUUGAAGAUCAUUGGCUCUUAGAGAUCCAGAGAGAGUUAGCAGCGUCUGUCAGAGUUGAUGAUUCAGCAGGAGAAGCCGUUGGCGGGCAGCAUGCCGGUGGUUUGGCCCACGCUGCUCGACCUCAGCAGAGAUGAAUGCAAACGAAUCCUGCGCAAACUGGAGCUGGAAGCGUACGCCGGCGUGAUCAGCGCUCUGCGCGCUCAAGGAGAUCUCACCAAAGACAAGAAGGAGCUGCUGGGAGAACUCACUCGAGUGCU